rnacentral:rRNA from 1 species
GACGAACGCUGGCGGCGUGCUUAACACAUGCAAGUCGAGCGGAAAGGCCCUUCGGGGUACUCGAGCGGCGAACGGGUGAGUAACACGUGAGCAACCUGCCCUUGGCUUCGGGAUAACUAUCGGAAACGGUGGCUAAUACCGGAUAUGACACACUCUCGCAUGGGGAUGUGUGUGGAAAGUUUUUCGGCCAGGGAUGGGCCCGCGGCCUAUCAGCUUGUUGGUGGGGUGANGGCCUACCAAGGCGACGACGGGUAGCCGGCCUGAGAGGGCGACCGGCCACACUGGGACUGAGACACGGCCCAGACUCCUACGGGAGGCAGCAGUGGGGAAUAUUGCGCAAUGGGCGGAAGCCUGACGCAGCGACGCCGCGUGAGGGAUGACGGCCU